CAAUAGCGUAUAUUUAAGUUGUUGCAGUUAAAAAGCUCGUAGUUGGAUUUCGGAUGGGACUUGCCGGUCCGUCGUUGCGAUGUGCACUGGCCAGUCCUAUCUUGUUGUCGGGGACUAGCUCUUGGUCUUCACUGGCCGGGACUAGGAGCUGACGAGGUUACUUUGAGUAAAUUAGAGUGUUCAAAGCAAGCCUACGCUCUGAAUACAUUAGCAUGGAAUAACACGAUAGGACUCUGGCUUAUCUUGUUGGUCUGUGAGACCAGAGUAAUGAUUAAGAGGGACAGUCGGGGACAUUCGUAUUUCAUUGUCAGAGGUGAAAUUCUUGGAUUUAUGAAAGACGAACUUCUGCGAAAGCAUUUGUCAAGGAUGUUUNCAUUAA
rnacentral:rRNA from 1 species